ensembl:lncRNA
GAAAACCCAGUGAUCAGUAAAAUUCAAUACAUUUAAUUAUGGCUCCUACAAGGAGAAACGAGCAAAAGAUACAGAGGGGGUGUUCACCCAGGGCGCCAAACAGGCUAGGACCGCCACUGGUCCCCACACCUCUGUACCUAUAAGAGAAGUGUUCCAUCUCAUUUCUUGCCUGCUCAGCCACUGAAGAGGUUCCAUCUCUGCUGGUUGCCUGUAUCAAAGCUAGCCACCUGCUCUGCUCUGCCCUUACGACCUCCUACUCAACCUCCUGAGUAACUCCACCUCAGCUGCUGACCUUCUUCCUCCAC